rnacentral:rRNA from 1 species
UACGUAGGGACCAAGCGUUGUCCGGAAUCAUUGGGCGUAAAGCGCGCGUAGGUGGCCAUUUAAGUCCGCUGUGAAAGUCAGAGGCUCAACCUUUGAAAGCCGGUGGAUACUGGAUGGCUAGAGUACGGAAGAGGCGAGUGGAAUUCCUGGUGUAGCGGUGAAAUGCGUAGAUAUCGGGAGGAAUACCUAUGGCGAAAGCAGGUUUCUGGGCCAUCACUGACGCUGAGCUGCGAAAGCUAGGGGAGCAAACAGG